AGAGUUUGAUCCUGGCUCAGGGUGAACGCUGGCGGUAUGCCUAAGACAUGCAAGUCGCACGGACUGUUUCGGCAGUUAGUGGCGGACGGGUGAGUAACACGUAGGUGACCUGCCCCAAAGUCGGGGACAACUAGGAGAAAUCUUAGCUAAUCCCCGAUGUGAACCUCAGCUAUGGCUGAUGUUCAAAGCUUCGGCGCUUUGGGAUGGGCCUGCGGCGCAUCAGGUAGUUGGUGGGGUAAUGGCCCACCAAGCCGACGACGCGUAGCUGGUCUGAGAGGACGAUCAGCCACAGGGGUACUGAGACACGGACCCCACUCCUACGGGAGGCAGCAGUUAGGAAUCUUCCGCAAUGGGCGAAAGCCUGACGGAGCGAUACCGCUUGAAGGACGAAGCCCCUCGGGGUGUAAACUUCUGAACUCGGGACGAUUAUGACGGUACCGAGGAAAGCCCG
rnacentral:rRNA from 1 species